rnacentral:rRNA from 1 species
AUUGAACGCUGGCGGCAUGCCUUACACAUGCAAGUCGAACGGCAGCACGGGAGCAAUCCUGGUGGCGAGUGGCGAACGGGUGAGUAAUAUAUCGGAACGUGCCCAGUCGUGGGGGAUAACGUAGCGAAAGCUACGCUAAUACCGCAUACGAUCUAUGGAUGAAAGCGGGGGAUCGCAAGACCUCGCGCGAUUGGAGCGGCCGAUAUCAGAUUAGGUAGUUGGUGAGGUAAAGGCUCACCAAGCCGACGAUCUGUAGCUGGUCUGAGAGGACGACAGCCACACUGGGACUGAGACACGGCCCAGACUCCUACGGGAGGCAGCAGUGGGGAAUUUUGGACAAUGGGCGCAAGCCUGAUCCAGCAAUGCCGCGUGCAGG